rnacentral:rRNA from 1 species
CGUUGAUCCAGAGAUUUCCGAAUGGGGGAACCCACUAUCUUUAGUCGGAUAGUAUCCUUACGUGAAUACAUAGCGUGAGGAAGGCAGACCCAGGGAACUGAAACAUCUAAGUACCUGGAGGAAGAGAAAGAAAAAUCGAUUUCCUGAGUAGCGGCGAGCGAAACGGAAAGAGCCCAAACCAAGAAGCUUGCUUCUUGGGGUUGUAGGACACUCUAUACGGAGUUACAAAAGAAAGUUAUAAAUGAAGCGGUCUGGAAAGGCCCGCCAAAGACGGUAACAGCCCGGUAGUUGAAAUGGCUUUCCCUCCAGAGUGGAUCCUGAGUACGGCGGAACACGUGAAAUUCCGUCGGAAUCCGGGAGGACCAUCUCCCAAGGCUAAAUACUCCCUAGUGACCGAUAGUGAACCAGUACCGUGAGGGAAAGGUGAAAAGCACCCCGGAAGGGGAGUGAAACAGUUCCUGAAACCGUGUGCCUACAAGUAGUUAGAGCCCGUUAAUGGGUGAUAGCGUGCCUUUUGUAGAAUGAACCGGCGAGUUACGAUUUGUUGCAAGGUUAAGCGGAAAAAGCGGAGCCGUAGCGAAAGCGAGUCUGAAUAGGGCGCAUAAGUAACAGGUCGUAGACCCGAAACCAGGUGAUCUACCCAUGUCCAGGAUGAAGGUAAGGUAAUACUUACUGGAGGUCCGAACCCACGCACGUUGAAAAGUGCGGGGAUGAGGUGUGGGUAGCGGAGAAAUUCCAAUCGAACUUGGAGAUAGCUGGUUCUCUCCGAAAUAGCUUUAGGGCUAGCCUCGAGGUAAAGAGUCAUGGAGGUAGAGCACUGUUUGGACUAGGGGCCCUUCUCGGGUUACCGAAUUCAGAUAAACUCCGAAUGCCAUGUACUUAUACUCGGGAGUCAGACUGCGAGUGAUAAGAUCCGUAGUCGAAAGGGAAACAGCCCAGACCACCAGUUAAGGUCCCCAAAUAUAUGUUAAGUGGAAAAGGAUGUGGGGUUGCUUAGACAACCAGGAUGUUGGCUUAGAAGCAGCCACCAUUGAAAGAGUGCGUAAUAGCUCACUGGUCGAGUGACCCCGCGCCGAAAAUGUACCGGGGCUAAACAUAUUACCGAAACUGUGGAUGAACCUCUUUAGAGGUUCGUGGUAGGAGAGCGUUCUAAGGGCGGUGAAGUCAGACCGGAAGGACUGGUGGAGCGCUUAGAAGUGAGAAUGCCGGUAUGAGUAGCGAAAGAAGGGUGAGAAUCCCUUCCACCGAAUAUCUAAGGUUUCCUGAGGAAGGCUCGUCCGCUCAGGGUUAGUCGGGACCUAAGCCGAGGCCGAUAGGCGUAGGCGAUGGACAACAGGUAGAGAUUCCUGUACCAGUGCUAAUUGUUUAACCGAUGGGGUGACACAGAAGGAUAGGGAAUCGCACGAAUGGAAAUGUGCGUCCAAGCAGUGAGUGUGAGAAGUAGGCAAAUCCGCUUCUCGCGAAGCAUGAGCUGUGAUGGGGAAGGAAAUUAAGUACGGAAGUUCCUGAUUUCACGCUGUCAAGAAAAGCCUCUAGGAAGAGUAGUACUGCCCGUACCGCAAACCGACACAGGUAGAUGAGGAGAGAAUCCUAAGGUGAGCGAGAGAACUCUCGUUAAGGAACUCGGCAAAAUGACCCCGUAACUUCGGGAGAAGGGGUGCUCUAUUAGGGUGCAAGCCCGAGAGAGCCGCAGUGAAUAGGCCCAGGCGACUGUUUAGCAAAAACACAGGUCUCUGCAAAACCGUAAGGUGACGUAUAGGGGCUGACGCCUGCCCGGUGCUGGAAGGUUAAGAGGA